rnacentral:rRNA from 1 species
AUUGAACGCUGGCGGAAUGCUUUACACAUGCAAGUCGAACGGCAGCACGGGGGCAACCCUGGUGGCGAGUGGCGAACGGGUGAGUAAUACAUCGGAACGUGCCCAGUCGUGGGGGAUAACGUAGCGAAAGCUACGCUAAUACCGCAUACGAUCUGUGGAUGAAAGCGGGGGACCGCAAGGCCUCGCGCGAUUGGAGCGGCCGAUGGCAGAUUAGGUAGUUGGUGGGGAAAGGCCUACCAAGCCGACGAUCUGUAGCUGGUCUGAGAGGACGACCAGCCACACUGGGACUGAGACACGGCCCAGACUCCUACGGGAGGCAGCAGUGGGGAAUUUUGGACAAUGGGCGCAAGCCUGAUCCAGCCAUUCCGCGUGCAGGAUGAAGGCCCUCGGGUUGUAAACUGCUUUUGGACGGAACGAAAAGGCUCUCUCUAAUACGGGGGCUCAUGACGGUACCGUCAGAAAUAAGCACCGGCUAACUCUGUGCCAGCCGCCGCA